ensembl:lncRNA
AAGAUAAUGGCUCCAGUCGGUCUGGUUGUUGUGACAAUAGGUGCGGAGGAAACGUGUAAGUUGUUGAUUCAAUCGUUCUACUUGGCCGUUGGAUUCGGGGUGAUAUCCUGAGGUAAGGCUGACAUUGAUGUUAAGUUGUUGACAGAAAGCCCUCCAUACUCGGGAAGUGAACUGCGGAUCCCGGUCCGAGACGAUGUCCUCAGGAAGACUAUAGAACUUGAAUACAUUCUGUAGGAGAGCUUCGGCCAUCUCGAAGGCUGUGGGCAGCUUGGGGAGAGGAACUAGGCAACAAGCCUUGGAGAAGCGGUCAAUGAUGGUGAGUAUGGUGGUGAAAUGAUUGGAGCUAGGUAAGUCUGUUACGAAGUCAAUGGCAAUAUGAGACCAUCGUCAUUGGGGAAUGGGGAGAGGUUGGAGUAGACCUGCCGGUCAUUGAUGUGAAGAUUUGGAGAUGUUGCAAGUGUCACAACCUUGGACGAAUUGUGUAACAUCGGACUGAAGAGAGGACCACCAGAAGCGAUAGGCCACAAGUUCAAUGGUGGCAUUGAUGCCCAGAUGACCAGUGCUGGGAGAUUUGUGAAUCCACUGUAUUACUCGUGGGCGGAGACCGACAAGAACAUAGGUGCGGUAGGGAGGACACCCGGGACAGAGCGUCCACUUUGCCGUUCUUAGCUCCAGGUUGAUAGGUUACCUUGAAGUCAAAGCGAGAGAAGAACAGGGACGAUCUUGCCUGUCUGGGGUUGAGACGCUUAGCGGAUCUGAUGUACUCCAGAUUGUGAUGGUCGGUUAGUACGAGGAAUGGUAGUCUCGCCCCCUCCAGCCAGUGCCGCCACUCUUCAAACGCAGCCUUCAUGGCUAACAAUUCCCUAUCUCCCACAUCAUAGUGUCUCUCUGCCGGGUUGAGUUUGCGAGAGAAAUAGGCACAUGGAAAUAGUUUGGGUGGAAUACCGUGACGUUGUGAAAGGAUUGCGCUGAUGCCCGUAUUCGAUGCAUCCACCUCUACCCUAAACUCCGAGUCAGGGUUGGGAUAAUGUAAGACGGGGGCUGACGUGAAUUGCUGUUUGAGCUGCUGGAAAGCCUGUUCGCUGGCGGGUGUCCAAUUCAGACACUUUCUCUUCCCCUGUAACAAUUGAAGUGAGAGGGGCUGCUACUACACUGAAAUUCCUUAUAAAACGUAGAUAGAAAUUUGCAAAUCCUAGGAAACACUGCAGUUCUUUGAUUGAGGAUGGUUUCGGCCAAUUUCUUCUCAUCCAUGGUGACCCCCUCUGCACUAAUUACGUACCCCAAGAAGGAGAUCUGUGUUUGGUGGAACUCACACUUCUGUAUCUUAGUGUAGAGCUAAUGCUUGAUGAGUCGUUGAAGGACAUCUCUGACCUGCUUGACAUGGGUUUCAAGGGAUCAAGAUGUCGUCAAUGUAGACGAUGACACCUUGGUUCAACAUAUCCCGGAAGACGUCAUUAAUGAGGGACUGGAACAUUGAUGGACUGUUGGCAAGUCCGAACGGCAUAACCCGAUAUUCAUAGUGCCUGGAUGUUGAGAAGGCCGUCUUCCAUUCGUCCCCUUUGCGAAUGUGAACCAGGUUGUAGGCACUGCGUAGAUCCAGUUUCGUGAAGUAUUUAGCGCUGCGGAGCUGCUCUAGGGCUGAAGAAACCAGGGGCAAUGGGUAGCGGAACUUUAUGCUUAUCUCAUUGAGUGCCCGAUAGUCAAUACAGGGCCGAAGACCCCCGUCCUUCUUCUUAACGAAGAAAAAUCCCACUGAAGCUGGUGAUUUGGAUGGUAUGAUAAAGCCCUUGGCUAGUUCCUCUUCAAUAUACUUCCUCAUGGUUUCAGAUUCGGGUUGUGAGAGGGGGAAAAUUCUGCCCCUGGGAGGAGUAGAGCCUGGGAUGAGGUCGAUGGCACAGUUGCUGGGUCACUGAGGAGGGAGUUUGGAAGCUUUGGCUUUGCUGAAGGCCUCAGAUAGAUCUUGAUAUUCAGCGGGCUGUCCUGAGAGGUCGUUCUUUGAGGGGGUUUGAUCUCCCCCUCCUGGGGAUGAGUGGAAGGUUGUUGUGAGACGAGACAAUGGCAUUGACAGGAUCUUGACCACUGAAUGAUCUCUUGUGUUGACCAUGAGAUGCAUUGGUUGUGUUUCUCUAGCCAGGGAAGUCCAAGAAUGACAGGGUUUUGGGGUGAUUCAAUGGCAAACAGUCUUAUGGAUUCAGUGUGGAGAGCACCGGUUAGAAGUUGUAUCUUUGGGUUAUGAAUUUGAUUCUCCCCGAGCUUAGUGGUCAACCAUCUAGCGCUGCCACUGCCACCUGGGAUUCACAUGAAAUGAGAGAAAUAUUAUGAGUUUCAGCAAAAGAGAUAUCAAUAAAAAUCCCUGCAGCACCAGAGUCAAUCAUAGCUAUGGUCUCAACCCUCCUCCCUCCGGUGCUAAGAGCAACCGGAAUGCCAAAUGAAUGAUUAUUUGAACCCACAGCACUCAUUGUGUUGGAUUUACGAUGAGGGGGGCGAGUGGGACAGGAAGCCCUCAGGUGACCAGCCUGACCGCAGUAUAGGCACAGAUGUUGACGAAUGCGUCUCUCACGCUCCUCCGCUGAUAGUUGGGUGGCGCCGAUCUGCAUGAGUUCCUGGCUCUGUGAACUUCUGAGCAACCGACCGUGUGGGAGAACUCCGGCGGGUGCGUCGUGAGCGUAUUAAGUCAUCGAGACGGAUGGUUAAAUCCAUGAAUUGUUCGAGGGUCUUUCCUUCCUCCCUGCAGGCUAUUUCCGACUGUAGAUCAUUGUUGAGUCCCUUUCGGUAGAACAGCCGGAGAGGUUCAUUAUCCCAGCCCGUUUGAGCAGCGAGUGAUCGGAAAGCAAGAGUGUAUUCGGCAGCGGUGCUGUUUCCCUGAUACAGAGCGAUUAACUCCUCUCCCGCCUCCUUUCCGCUGGCGGAGUGUUUGAACACAUCCCGGAAUUGGCGAAUGAAACAGUUGUAAGUGGGAAAUGCGAUUACCCUGCCACAUCGCUGUAGCCCACUCCAAAGCUUUACCGGUAAGCAGAGAGCAGACGAAUGCUACAUGGCUCUCAUCAGUCGGGUAAGUGAGGGGUUGAUACAGAUGUAGCAUUGCAUCAGGAAGCCCUUACACUUGCAUGGGGAACUGUCAAACUUUUCCAGAAGUGAAAGUCGAACACCAUGUGGUGCGGGAGUUGAUGUGGGAGUGGUGAGCGCGGCAGCUGGCGCUGAUGUUGGUGUGGGAUUCCCUGGUGGGGGGGGGUCACGUGGAGCGCUUGUAGUGUUUUCACAAGUUCCUCUGUGAGGGAGGUGAGUCUCUGGAGCUGUUGUUGAUGUGUGGCAGCACAGAAGCUUGAGCUGAUACCUCGGAAGAGAGCUGGUAGAAUAUCGCUGGAUCCUGAGUUGGCGAAGUCUUCUGUAAUGAGGAGUCAGGGGCAUUUGGUCCAAAGCGUCUGAUGCUGUGAAAGUAUGUCAGUAAAUGCAAGUA